GGACUACUCGGGUUUCUAAUCCUGUUUGCUCCCCACGCUUUCGUGCAUGAGCGUCAGUACAGGUCCAGGGGAUUGCCUUCGCCAUCGGUGUUCCUCCGCAUAUCUACGCAUUUCACUGCUACACGCGGAAUUCCAUCCCCCUCUACCGUACUCUAGCUAUGCAGUCACAAAUGCAGUUCCCAGGUUAAGCCCGGGGAUUUCACACCUGUCUUACAUAACCGCCUGCGCACGCUUUACGCCCAGUAAUUCCGAUUAACGCUCGCACCCUACGUAUUACCGCGGCGGCUGGCAC
rnacentral:rRNA from 1 species